rnacentral:lncRNA from 10 species
ACGAGGUCUCGCUCUGUUGCCCAGACUGGUCCUAAACUCCUGGCCUCAAGUACUCCUCCUGCUUGGGCCUUCCAAAUUGUUGGGAUCAUAGAUGCAGAAACCACGGCCCAGGGAAGACGCAGCUUGAGCAAGGUCACCGGCAGGUAAGUGGUGCAGCUACAGUAAAGGUCUCCCACUCCCAGGUUAGCGAAGAGUCACUGCCCAGCCCUGCCUCAUGGCCUUAAGCCCAGGGUCACACAGCUGGUAGUCAGCCCUUCUUAUAGGCUGCCAUGGCCCACUGGGCACUACUUAGUGCUUAGAAGACGAGUUAGUGCUGGUAGCACCCAGUUGGUGCUGGAAAAGGAAGUGGCGUGUUUUGGCGUGUCCUGGCCUCCAGGCUGAAAACUGUUUAUUUGGACAAUUAAGAACAUGGCUUCAGCUGAACCACAAAAUCAGACGGAAACCUUUAUCUUGGGUGGCACGUUCUUGGUUUCCUCCCAUGCCCUGGCAGGCUUGUGGUGUGGGGCCACGCUGGCCAGGGUGGGUCUGGGAAUGGUUCCAGUGGCUCUGGCCUCCACCCUGGAGAGGUCGGUUAAGUGUGUCAGGAGCAAGCCUUUGGUUGCCGUUUGUGUUGAUGAUGCAGAUGGAAAGGUGGGUGUUGGGGGCCCCCAAGCUCUUUAAACCCCUAGGGCCUCUGGGGUCCCUUGAGGUGAGGCUUCUUCUGCAAUUGACCAUAAAAUUCAGUGUCUGCCACACCACCUUCCCCUACUGCAGAUCUUGUCUCCAAUGAUUUACCCUCCUCCCUCCAGCCAAGAAAUGGGUGAAUUCACAUCACCUACUCCCCAUUCCAGCACCCCAGGGGAGCCCUUGGUUCCGGCACCACCUCCCCUUCUGUCCCCAUCCCUUUUCAGCCCCCAUCCCUCUAGGGUUCUGGGCCUCUACCUCCAUGUGAGGUAUGAGGGUAAGAUAAGUGAGGUGUUUGCUUACAACCCUCGUUGAAGUUUAAGCUUCUCCCAUACUAGGAAUGGGGCUUGAGGCCCCAGGGCCUAGGAUCCCUACUGAGGAUUAUGGUCGAGGCUGGAGAACAAAAGCCAACAGCUUUGUGCCACUCCACUCUCCAGAACUCCCAAUCAAAACAAACAGAACAAACACCGGGAGUUGCAAAGAUCCAUUCUGAGAAUUUGCUAUACAUUGGCUCCGUCACUCGGGCAACAUGAGGGCCAUAGUGGACUCAGAGAGGGGCCCCUGCCCGGUGAGAGAAAAGGACAAGCUUAGCAAUAAUUAGAGAAGAAGCUGGAGCUGGAGAGGCAGAUAAAGAGCUAUGGGGUCAGACGAGGGUGGGGUUGCUUCAGCUUCAUGCUUGGUGGCCAGAGGUGCUCAUAGGAAAAACAAAACCGGAGUUGCAGCCUCCCCCAGCACCAUCCCCCAAGUAGCGCCGAGAGGAGCUGCCCACCUGGGCUGCAGCAGGUCACACUUAGCCACUGUGUUGAGACACAGUCUCAUGACUGCCACUUGGGGAACGGCCACUCUGCCUCCCUGUCUGGGCUGUGCUCCCUGCCCGCAACGGACACCAAGCAGGCCUGCCCGGCUCUCAGACCUUCCGGAGCUCCCGCCUGUGUCCCUGUGAACAUCAAUAGGACUUGUUUCCAGAACCUCAGUUUCCUUUGCAGUAAAAUGGGAAUAAAAAGAAAAUCUACGUAACAGUAGAUAUUCUGUGAGGAUUACGUGAAUUCAUAUUUGAAGAGUGAGUAGAAGGGUUCCUGGCACAAGCUCUACAAGUGUGGCUGGAAUGAAUAUGAUGAUGAGGAUGAAGAUGAGGAUGGCGGGGCUGGAGCUCAAGUGCCAUACUGUGUCCUGGAGCAGAAGCCACGUGUUGAGGACAGUCUGGACCCUUAACGAGGGUUGAGCCACGACACCAGCCUGUGACUGUUUACCUCUUGAGUUUGUUUACAGGAGAAGAAAAUAAACUCUCACCUUGUUUAACACACCAUCCUGUUGGCUUUUCAGUUUGCUUGUAGCCCGAUCUAAUCCUAACUGAUACAGGAACAUUGUAGGUUCAACUCACAUCCCUGUCCCCUGCACCAUGUUGUCGCUCUUUAAGAUAAUGUCUCACUGUUCCUACUUGGGUUGUACAUUCCUUGAGGACGGAAAAGCUUCCCACUCACAGUAGGUGCCCAGAAAGUAAGUAUCGAAUUAAUGGAAGAACAAUGUGAAAAUCAUUCUGGUUAGGUAGACAAGGAAUUCUUUGGCUAGUUGCAGAAAAUCAGUGAUAGUAAUAACAAAAUUUAUCAAGCAUAAUGGCUGGCGUGCUUUUUUUUUUUUUUUUUCCAAGUCAGAGUCUUGCUCUGUUGCCCAAGCUGGAGGGCAGUGAUGUGAUCACAUCUCACUGCACCCUUGACCUCCUGCCUCAAAUGAUCCCUCCAUCUCAGCCUCCUGUGCACCAGCACACCCAGCUAAUUUUUAAAUUUUUUUUUUGUAGGGAUGAGGUCUUACUAUAUUGCCCAGUCUGGUCUUGAACUUCUGGACUCAAUUGAUCCUCCUGCCUCAGCCUUCCAAAGUGUUGGGAUGACAGGUAUGAGCCACUAUGCCCAGUCCCUGGCAUUCCAAGUACUUCAAGUGUAUUUUAUAGUUCAGCUCUCAUGACAAUCCUAUGAAAUAAAUACAGUUGGCCCUCUACACCUGUGGGCUCUGCAUCGAUGGAUUCAACCAACCAUGGAUU